rnacentral:rRNA from 1 species
GACGAACGCUGGCGGCGUGCCUAAUACAUGCAAGUCGAGCGAAGCGGCGGAUGGGUGAGUAACGCGUGGGUAACCUGCCCUUAAGUCUGGGAUACCAUUUGGAAACGGAUGCUAAUACCGGAUAACAAAGGAUGGACGUGAGAUGCAUUAGCUAGUUGGUAAGGUAACGGCUUCCCAAGGCGAUGAUGCAUAGCCGAGUUGAGAGACUGAGCGGCCACAUUGGGACUGAGACACGGCCCAAACUCCUACGGGAGGCAGCAGUAGGGAAUCUUCCACAAUGGACGAAAGUCUGAUGGAGCAACGCCGCGUGAGUGAAGAAGGUUUUCGGAUCGUAAAGCUCUGUUGUUGGUGAAGCGGUAAUCAACCAGAAAGUCACGGCUAACUACGUGCCAGCAGCCGCGGUAAUUC